rnacentral:snRNA from 1 species
GUGCUUGCUUUGGCAGCACAUAUACUAAAUUGGAAUGAUAACAGAGAAGAUUAGCAUGGCCCCUGUAAAGUAUGACAUGCAAAUUCAUGAAGUGUUUCAUAUUUUU